GAUGAACGCUGGCGGCGUGCCUAAUACAUGCAAGUCGAGCGAACAGACGAGGAGCUUGCUCCUCUGACGUUAGCGGCGGACGGGUGAGUAACACGUGUAUAAUCUACCUAUAAGACUGGGAUAACUUCGGGAAACCGGAGCUAAUAGCGGAUAAUAUAUUGAACCGCAUGGUUCAAUAGUGAAAGACGGUUUUGCUGUCACUUAUCGAUGGAUCCGCGCCGCAUGAGCUAGUUGGUAAGGUAACGGCUUACCAAGGCAACGAUGCGUAGCCGACCUGAGAGGGUGGUCGGCCACACUGGAGCUGAGACACGCUCCUGACUCCUACGGGAGGCACCAGUAGGGAAUCUUCCGCAAAGGGCGAAAGCCUGACGGAGCAACGCCACGUGAGUGAUGAAGGUCUUCGGAUCGUAAAACUCUGUUAUUAGGGAAGAACAAAUGUGUAAGUAACUAUGCACGUCUUGACGGUACCUAAUCAGAAAGCCACGGCUAACUACGUG
rnacentral:rRNA from 1 species